GCGGGGUGGCUCUUUUUGCCCCUCACGGGUAGAUCUCCCACCCUUGAAUACUAUACCUUUGUUGCUUUGGCGGGCCGCUUCGGCUACUGGCUCCGGCUGGUGAGUGCCCGCCAAAGGAUCCCAAAACUCUGAAUAUUUGUGUCGUCUGAGUACUAUAUAAUAGUUAAAACUUUCAACAACGGAUCUCUUGGUUCUGGCAUCGAUGAAGAACGCAGCGAAAUGCGAUAAGUAAUGUGAAUUGCAGAAUUCAGUGAAUCAUCGAAUCUUUGAACGCACAUUGCGCCCCUUGGUAUUCCGAGGGGCAUGCCCGUUCGAGCGUCAUUAUAACCCCUCAAGCCUAGCUUGGUGUUGGGGCCUGCUGUUACCGGCAGCCCUUAAAAUCAGUGGCGGUGCCAUCUGGCUCUAAGCGUAGUAAUACUUCUCGCUACAGGGUCCUGGUGGAUGCUUGCCAUCAACCCCUAAAUUUCUAUGGUUGACCUCGGAUCGGGUAGGGAUACCCGCUGAACUUAAGCAUAUCAAUAAGCGGAGGAAGAUCUUUACGGAGUUCAUGCCCUCAGGGUAGAAUCUCCACCUUGAAAUACUAUACCUUUGUUGCUUUGGCGGGCCGCUUCGCUCUGGCUCGCUGGUGAGUGCCCAAAGGAUCAAAACUCUGAAUAUUUGUGUCGUCUGAGUACUAUAUAAUAGUUAAAACUUUCAACAACGGAUCUCUUGGUUCUGGCAUCGAUGAAAAAGCAGCGAAAUGCGAAUAAGUAAUGUGAAUUGCAGA
rnacentral:rRNA from 1 species